GAUGAACGCUGGCGGCGUGCCUAAUACAUGCAAGUCGAGCGAACGGACGAGAAUCUUGCGUCUCUGUUGUUAGCGGCGGACGGGUGUGUAACACGUGUAUAACCCACCUAUCAUUCUGGGAUAAUUUCGGGAAUGCGGCUCUUAUACCGUAUGAUAUUUUGAACCACAUUGUUCAAUAGUGAAAUACGGUGUUUCUGUCACUUAUAGAGGGAUCCGCGCUGCAUUAGCUAGUUGGUAAGGUAACGGCUUACGAAGGCAACGAUGCAUAGCCGACCUGAGAGGGUGAUCGGCCACACUGGAACUGAGACACGGUCCAGACUCCUACGGGAGGCAGCAGUAGGGAAUCUUCCGCAAUGGGCGAAAGCCUGACGGAGCAACGCCGCGUGAGUGAUGAAGGUCUUCGGAUCGUAAAACUCUGUUAUUAGGGAAGAACAUAUGUGUAAGUAACUGUGCACAUCUUGACGGUACCUAAUCAGAAAGCCACGGCUAACUACGUG
rnacentral:rRNA from 1 species